GAUCAUUCCGCGUGUAACAGCUGGAAUCACUCACUGUUUCCCACAACGACACAAGUCAUCAGCCGUUUCCUCAAGGUCACGUCAGAGCGGUGAUGAUGUGGAGAGGCAGAGACCACCACCAUACGCGAAGAUGAGCCUCGAGGCGUGACAGUUAUUUUUUCAAACUGGGGAGUUCAGACUCCGGACCGGCAUUUCUGCUUGUUUGUACCCUGAGGAACCCAAAGGUCCCACACCAACCAUAGUGUUCAACGGCUCUCCUGAUCUUCUCAAAUCUGAAAGUAUCAACUUUAUAAUGGACAAUGUGAACUUAAUAUGUGGAAGACAUUGACAUCACAGGCUGUGGAAUGACUGUGUCACAGGUCGGAGAAGCGGACCGCCCCUGUCGCGGAUCACGCUCCUCCUAGUUCCACCUCGAGGAGGUCCCAAAGCACCCCAAUGACCAGACAAACCAGAGAUA